UGGGGAAUUUUGGACAAUGGGCGAAAGCCUGAUCCAGCAAUGCCGCGUGUGUGAAGAAGGCCUUCGGGUUGUAAAGCACUUUUGUCCGGAAAGAAAUCCUUGGCUCUAAUACAGUCGGGGGAUGACGGUACCGGAAGAAUAAGCACCGGCUAACUACGUGCCAGCAGCCGCGGUAAUACGUAGGGUGCAAGCGUUAAUCGGAAUUACUGGGCGUAAAGCGUGCGCAGGCGGUUUGCUAAGACCGAUGUGAAAUCCCCGGGCUCAACCUGGGAACUGCAUUGGUGACUGGCAGGCUAGAGUAUGGCAGAGGGGGGUAGAAUUCCACGUGUAGCAGUGAAAUGCGUAGAGAUGUGGAGGAAUACCGAUGGCGAAGGCAGCCCCCUGGGCCAAUACUGACGCUCAUGCACGAAAGCGUGGGGAGCAAACAGGAUUAGAUACCCUGGUAGUCCAGCGCCCUAAAACGAUGUCAACUAGUUGUUGGGGAUUCAUUUCCUUAGUAACGUAGCUAACGCGUGAAGUUGACCGCCUGGGGAGUACGGUCGCAAGAUUAAAACUUAAAGGAAUUGACGGGGUCAUA
rnacentral:rRNA from 1 species